rnacentral:rRNA from 1 species
UGAACGCUGGCGGCGUGCUUAACACAUGCAAGUCGAACGGUAACAGAGGAGCUUGCUCCUGCUGACGAGUGGCGCACGGGUGAGUAAUGCAUAGGUAACGUGCCCCUUAGUCCGGGAUAGCCACUGGAAACGGUGAUUAAUACCGGAUACUCCUUCUCUAUUAAUUAGAGUCGGGAAAGUUUUUCGCUAAGGGAUCGGCCUAUGUUGUAUCAGGUAGUUGGUAGGGUAAUGGCCUACCAAGCCUAUGACACAUAGCGGGUCUGAGAGGAUGAUCCGCCACACUGGUACUGAGACACGGACCAGACUCCUACGGGAGGCAGCAGUGGGGAAUAUUGCACAAUGGGGGAAACCCUGAUGCAGCAACGCCGCGUGGAGGAUGACACAUUUCGGUGCGUAAACUCCUUUUAUAUAAGAAGAUAAUGACGGUAUUAUAUGAAUAAGCACCGGCUAACUCC